CUACGGGGUGCAGCAGUAGGGAAUCUUAGACAAUGGGGGAAACCCUGAUCUAGCCAUGCCGCGUGAGUGAUGAAGGCCUUAGGGUUGUAAAGCUCUUUCGCUGGGGAAGAUAAUGACGGUACCCAGUAAAGAAACCCCGGCUAACUCCGUGCCAGCAGCCGCGGUACUACGGAGGGGGUUAGCGUUGUUCGGAAUUACUGGGCGUAAAGCGCGCGUAGGCGGGCUAUUAAGUCAGGGGUGAAAUCCCGGGGCUCAACCCCGGAACUGCCUUUGAUACUGGUAGUCUUGAGUUCGAGAGAGGUGAGUGGGAUUCCGAGUGUAGAGGUGAAAUUCGUAGAUAUUCGGAGGAACAUCAGUGGCGAAGGCGACUCACUGGCUCGAUACUGACGCUGAGGUGCGAAAGUGUGGGGAGCAAACAGGAUUAGAUACCCUUGUAGUC
rnacentral:rRNA from 1 species